AAUUUGAGAUGCUAUUUCAAGUUUAAAAAUGUCACAUUACUAAUAUUUAGAAGUGAACAAGCAGUGUACAAAACACUGUAAUUAAUAGUUGUACUUUCUGCUGACGAAGUGGGACGAAGUGGGUUAUAUCCAGAAAUUCACAGUAUCAUUGCUUCGAGAAUGGGCCAACACAUGGAAUAUUUGAAAAUUGGUGGAUAUACAGAGAUUUAAGUCUUCAGUCUUCCAUUUCUCUCUCUUGCUUUCCCUUCUUUCUCCAUUCCAUUUCUGCUUCUUUGUUUGAAUCUCAAAUUUCAUCAGUUGUUCAUCACUCAAAAGUGUGUGCUCUUUGUGUUGUUGAUUGAUGAGUGCAGGUAGGGUGGGGAUUUUGGCUUACAUAUGAAAGCAUAUCAUUGUGUAGCAUUUGGUUUCAGUGCUGGUGAGGAACUCACAAGAAUGUGAGAUUUAUGCUUAUGCGAGCUUAUCAGACUUAGCUAUGAAGAUUGAAGCUUAAAGGAUCGUCUUCCUUUAGAUUUCCAGUUUCUUUUUCUGAAGAAUUCCACAGCCAACUCCCCCAAAAGCUCAAGGGGAACCGUGCUAUUAUCGUUGCCGGUCAGACAUCAAAACUGUGAGUGGAGAUUUAGCUUUGAAUGGUGUACAAUAAUUUUCGUGAUAUACAAAAGAACUUGGCGACAGCAGAACAAUUCCAGAAGGUACUUUUCUAUGCUACAUGGCCAAUACUUCAAUCAGCAGUGCUUCUAUUUGUAUGUGAGCGCCCUCUAAUUUGUUAACUUAAUUAGAUGCUACUGAUCCAUACAUGAGUAGUUUUGAAAUAUGGAUGUAGUAAUGCAUUUGUUGUUGGUAAUCUCUUAUUUCCUUUUUUUUUUUUUUUUUUUUUACAUUUUUCUGAAAGGGGAUAAUACUUAUCACCAAAGAUAAUGAGCAGGCGUCCCUUAAAUUCAGGAAUUUGACUUGCACAGACAAAUUGUUAGUAUUACUACUAUGAUUAAAUUGGUUGUCGCCUAUGAUGGUAAUCUCUACAUAUAUGGCUACAUGCUUUUACUUUUAUGUCUAGACACUGUUGGAUGAAGCAUAAGCUUGACGGGUUCAAUUGUACCCAAUAUUUUCGACGCAGAGCACGAACUCAUAUAUAAUUUCAAAAGUAUAAUGGGUUUAGUAGUAAGAAUCUAAAAGUUGAAUCCAUGAAAUUUAAUUUGGAUGUGCCCCUUUGGCGAAAAUGUGACGGUAAUUGCAUAACCAAUAUCCUUUAGUUCAUAUAUAACUCAAGCAUGGAAGUUACUCUACACUAGGUAGGUACAAUUGCAAAAUUUGCUAGAUCUUUUUUAGGAAUAGUGCUAUAUAUAAGAGAUAUUGCAUAGUGAACCUUCAGAACUUAAUCUUGAAAGUUCAUAUCAUUUCUAAGUGUGAUUCCAUCUAUUCUACAAGUUAGCUAAACACCUACAAAAUGAAAAAGAAGAGUACUAUCAAAGUACUUCAUGUAUCGGUUGUAUAUGCCUUUUUAAUGUUUAUUCUCUGCUGGAAAUUUGAGUAAAAAGUUGUCAGUACUAUGACGUGUUGUUGAUUGGCUUAACCUCUCAUUUGGAUUGUUAACAUAGUAUUCCUGAGCCUGAAUUGGGUUGUUCCUCUGACCGAGAUUGUAGUUUUACAUAAGCAUGUUUGCUCUUUCACUUUCAACUUUUUUAUUAGGAUUGUAUCCUAUCUUCUUAAGCCCCUAACUUUUAUUCCUCGUGACGUUACCAUAGUUGGUCAUUUCCCUUUGUUGAAAAGCAGUGAUGCUUGAAGAAUAUUUGUGCAUAUUUCAUGCAGGAGAAUUUUUAAAAUAUGUUAAUGAAGUCAUCCUUUAGUUUAUUGUCAAAACAACAGCUCUGUAAUUUCAGUGUAUUGUAAGGCCUUUACAAUGAUUUGUGUCAACUCCAUUGUUUGCCUGUGAACCAAAGUGGAGAAUAAUUGUGUUACAAUCUUAAAAGCCUUCCCUCGUGUUGGGACCAUGCACAGCACCCCUAACAAGCUAUAUCUAAGAUCUACAAAUUGGAUGAACGAUUUUAUUAGUCAUUAUUGGUCUUAUUUUGUUCCGAUGAAUGUAUUCUUCAGUGUAAAAUUAAGUAGUUAUUUGAUACACUUCUAAAUCAAUAUAUUUGCAAAUGUUUAUAGUUGUGUUGUA